UACGUAGGGUGCGAGCGUUGUCCGGAAUUAUUGGGCGUAAAGAGCUCGUAGGCGGUGUGUCACGUCGGCCGUGAAAACCUGGGGCUUAACUCUGGGCGUGCGGUCGAUACGGGCAUCACUAGAGUUCUGGAGGGGGUAGCGGAAUUCCUGGUGUAGCGGUGAAAUGCGUAGAUAUCAGGAGGAACACCGGUGGCGAAGGCGGCUACCUGGACAGAAACUGACGCUGAGGCGCGAAAGCCAGGGGAGCAAACGGG
rnacentral:rRNA from 1 species